CCUACGGGGGACAGCAGUGAGGAAUAUUGGUCAAUGGGCGGAAUCCUGAACCAGCCAUGCCGCGUGCAGGACGACGGCUCUACGAGUUGUAAACUGCUUUUGUACCGGGGUCAAAUGACUUACGUGUAGGGUUUUGAAUGUACGGUAAGAAUAAGGAUCGGCUAACUCCGUGCCAGCAGCCGCGGUAAUACGGAGGAUACGAGCGUUAUCCGGAUUUAUUUGGUUUAAAGGGAGCGUAGAUGGGUUUUUAAGUCAGUUGUGAAAGUUUGCGGCUCAACCGUAAAAUUGCAAUUGAUACUGGCAGCCUUGAGUACAGUUGAGGUAGGCGGAAUUCGUGGUGUAGCGGUGAAAUGCGUAGAUAUCACGAAGAACUCCGAUUGCGAAGGCAGCCUACUAAACUGCCACUGACAUUGAUGCUCGAAAGUGUGGGUAUCAAACAGGAUUAGAUACCCUUGUAGUC
rnacentral:rRNA from 1 species